rnacentral:rRNA from 1 species
UACGUAGGGGGCAAGCGUUGUCCGGAAUCAUUGGGCGUAAAGCGCGCGUAGGCGGCUCGAUAAGUCUGCUGUGAAAGUCAAAGGCUCAACCUUUGAAUGCCGGUGGAUACUGUCGAGCUAGAGUCCGGAAGAGGCGAGUGGAAUUCCUGGUGUAGCGGUGGAAUGCGCAGAUAUCAGGAGGAACACCAACGGCGAAGGCAGCUCGCUGGGACGGUACUGACGCUAAGGCGCGAAAGCGUGGGGAGCGAACAGG